rnacentral:RNase_P_RNA from 5 species
GAGAGUAGGCGCAGGUGGUUGCAGAUUUGCCGUUUGUGCGAGUCUGAGGAAAGUCCGGGCUCCCGAAAGACCAAACUUGCUGGGUAACGCCCAGUGCGGGCGACCGUGAGGAUAGUGCCACAGAAAGAUACCGCCGGGAUAAUUAAACAUUAAAAAUGCAAAAUGAAGAAUUUUUAAUGUUUAAUUAUCCCGGUAAGGGUGCAAAGGUGCGGUAAGAGCGCACCAGCAGCGUCGAGAGGCGCUGGCUCGGUAAACCCCGGUUGGGAGCAAGGUAGGGAAUCACGGUUGGUCUUUUUCCGAUUCCGUUUUAAAACCGCUUGAGGCGUCUGGUAACAGGCGUCCCAGAUAGAUAACCGCCCUUCCAGCGGCACUGCUGCUGUGGAGAACAGAACCCGGCUUAUGACCGACUCUCUCCC